AUUGAACGCUGGCGGCAGGCCUAACACAUGCAAGUCGAGCGGAGCGGCGGACGGGUGAGUAAUGCCUAGGAAUCUGCCUGGUAGUGGGGGAUAACGUCCGGAAACGGGCGCUAAUACCGCAUACUAUCAGAUGAGCCUAGGUCGGAUUAGCUAGUUGGUGGGGUAAAGGCCUACCAAGGCGACGAUCCGUAACUGGUCUGAGAGGAUGAUAAGUCAACCUGGAACUGAGAAACGGUCCGACCUCCUCCGGGAGGAAGCAGUGGGGAAUUUUGUACACGGGUCGAAAGCCUGUUCCAGCCAUGCCGCGUGUGGAAAGAAGGUCUUCGGUUUGUAAAGCACUUUAAGUUGGGAGGCGUUACCAACAGAAUAAGCACCGGCUACCUUCGUGCCAGCAGCGCGGUAAUAC
rnacentral:rRNA from 1 species